rnacentral:rRNA from 1 species
GAUGAACGCUGGCGGCGUGCCUAAUACAUGCAAGUCGAGCGAACAGACGAGGAGCUUGCUCCUCUGACGUUAGCGGCGGACGGGUGAGUAACACGUGGAUAACCUACCUAUAAGACUGGGAUAACUUCGGGAAACCGGAGCUAAUACCGGAUAAUAUAUUGAACCGCAUGGUUCAAUAGUGAAAGACGGUUUUGCUGUCACUUAUAGAUUGAUCCGCGCCGCAUUAGCUAGUUGGUAAGGUAACGGCUUACCAAGGCGACGAUGCGUAGCCGACCUGAGAGGGUGAGCGGCCACACUGGAACUGAGACACGGUCCAGACUCCUACGGGAGGCAGCAGUAGGGAAUCUUCCGCAAUGGGCGAAAGCCUGACGGAGCAACGCCGCGUGAGUGAUGAAGGUCUUCGGAUCGUAAAACUCUGUUAUUAGGGAAGAACAAAUGUGUAAGUAACUAUGCACGUCUUGACGGUACCUAAUCAGAAAGCCACGGCUAACUACGUG